AUAUCAAUAAGCGGAGGAAAAGAAACCAACAGGGAUUGCCCUAGUAACGGCGAGUGAAGCGGCAACAGCUCAAAUUUGAAAUCUGGCCCUCGGGUCCGAGUUGUAAUUUGUAGAGGAUGCUUUUGGUGAGGUACCUUCCGAGUUCCCUGGAACGGGACGCCAUAGAGGGUGAGAGCCCCGUCUGGUUGGAUACCGAUCCUCUGUAAAGCUCCUUCGACGAGUCGAGUAGUUUGGGAAUGCUGCUCUAAAUGGGAGGUAUAUGUCUUCUAAAGCUAAAUAUUGGCCAGAGACCGAUAGCGCACAAGUAGAGUGAUCGAAAGAUGAAAAGCACUUUGAAAAGAGAGUUAAAAAGUACGUGAAAUUGUUGAAAGGGAAGCGCUCAUGACCAGACUUGGGCUUGGUUGAUCAUCCAGGGUUCUCCCUGGUGCACUCUUCCAGCUCAGGCCAGCAUCAGUUCGCCGCGGGGGAUAAAGGCUUUGGGAAUGUGGCUCCUCCGGGAGUGUUAUAGCCCACUGCGUAAUACCCUGUAGUGGACUGAGGUUCGCGCAUCUGCAAGGAUGCUGGCGUAAUGGUCAUCAGCGACCCGUCUUGAAACACGGACCAAGGAGUCGUCUUCGUAUGCGAGUGUUCGGGUGUUAAACCCCUACGCGUAAUGAAAGUGAACGCAGGUGAGAGCUUCGGCGCAUCAUCGACCGAUCCUGAUGUUCUCGGAUGGAUUUGAGUAAGAGCAUACGGGGCCGGACCCGAAAGAAGGUGAACUAUGCCUGUAUAGGGUGAAGCCAGAGGAAACUCUGGUGGAGGCUCGCAGCGGUUCUGACGUGCAAAUCGAUCGUCAAAUAUGGGCAUGGGGGCGAAAGACUAAUCGAACCUUCUAGUAGCUGGUUUCCGCC
rnacentral:rRNA from 1 species